GACGAACGCUGGCGGUGUGCUUAACACAUGCAAGUCGAACGGUAAGGCCCUUUCGGGGGUACACGAGUGGCGCACGGGUGAGUAACACGUGAGUAACCUGCCCUCAUCUCUGGGAUAACAGUCGGAAACGGUUGCUAAUACUGGAUAUGAGCUUGCAAGGCAUCUUGUGGGUUGGAAAGAUUUUUUUGGUUGGGGAUGGACUCGCGGCCUAUCAGCUUGUUGGUGAGGUAGUGGCUCACCAAGGCUUCGACGGGUAGCCGGCCUGAGAGGGCGACCGGCCACAUUGGGACUGAGAUACGGCCCAAACUCCUACGGGAGGCAGCAGUGGGGAAGAUUGCACAAUGGACGGAAGUCUGAUGCAGCAACGCCGCGUGCGGGAUGACGGCCUUCGGGUUGUAAACCGCUUUCAAUUGUGACGAAGCUUUUUGUGACGGUAGCAGUAGAAGAAGCACCGGCUAACUACGUG
rnacentral:rRNA from 1 species